rnacentral:lncRNA from 1 species
GCAUGCUCAUCUACAGAAACGCCGCUUGGCCUUUGGACUACACCAUCUGUCGCUCGCUCUAACGAGCCGGCGUUGCCGCCAGGGGACGCUCGGGCCGCAGGAGGUCGCUGGGUCGUGAGCUGGCGCCGGGGACGCCGAGCGACUGCGGGGUUUCCCUCAGCGUCCUGCUAUCCGGCUGCCCGCCGCGCUCCUUGGUAGUGUCCGUGGGCGCGCAGGCCUUGAAGAACCUCCUCGUGGCGGGACCCCGAGCGCAGGAGAGGUGUCAAAGAGCUGGCGCGUCUCCAGAGCCCCGGGAGGAAGGCUGUAACGGCAGCCCCAUCGUAGACAGGGACAUUCGCAUCCCGAGCCCUGGAUCUCUGAAAACCAGCCCAGAAUUUGGAAGCUGGAAGGAACUUUAGAUCGUCCAUUCUGAGUGUCUCUCUUCGCUGGCGUUUUCCCACUGAGGUUAUGUAAACAUGAAGAGGAGCCUACAAGUGUCAAGGAAAAAACGACAGCUAACCACAGGGCAGGCCAUGGGCAAGAUAUCUCAGUGUUCUCCGCUCUCAUAGGUCAGGUCACGACCCCCAGGAGACCUGGAGGACUGAAUGCUGCUGCCCCCAAGGAGGAGGCUGCCGUCUUAUCCCAGGAGGGAGAGCAGGUGAAGUCCCCAGGGGAGGAAGCACCUAGCCCCAUUCCUGCUGAGCAGGAGGUGGCAGGUACCCCAGACUGGGAGGUAAGGACAGCCCGGGGCUUCGACUGAACGUCUCCAGCGUGGGUCCAACUGAGCAGCCAUGGAGCACUGCAGAGUGGGAGGCAGCAGGGCAGGGAGGCAGUGCUGGAGGCUGGCUCAACCCCAAGACCAGCAGGCCAAGCUGCCAUCCCAGGGGAGCGAGGACGUCUGUGCAGAGCUGAGAGGCAGCAGCCAUGUGUGAACAGACUGGGCCUCAUCCUGGCCCCACCGACUUUGUGUGGACAGAGCCUGUUUCCCUGUCUGUGCAACACAGAACCUGCCUGAUCUCACUGCUGGAUCCCUCUUCUUCCUGCCAGGAAAAUAAAAAGGUUCAAAAGGAAGUUGCUGCGUAUCCAUCUGAGGCCUCUGAGGACAGCAAAGAGCAAAGGCCCUGGGACCGGGUCUACGUGCCCAUGACAGAGCUCUGGCUGGACUGGUUCUGAGCCUCUAACACCCCCAAGACUCAGAACCGUGAAGAAAAUCUUUCCAAUAAAUCCAAGAGUUGCUGCUGCUAUAGGCCAGGCUGCCACCUUUCGGGGCCUCCGUCUUCAGACAAACCCAGCCUGGCUUCAUCCACACUCCCUGUCCCCACAGCUGCAGGAACAGCACUUCCUGCCACCGAGCCGUGUGACCACAGUGGAUUGUCUCUGGAGGGGCCCAAGGGGGCCCUGGCCACCCUUCUGACUGACUCGGUGCCAGGGGACAGACCAACGUCCCUCUCGUGCUGACAGCCGGGCCGCACCCUGGCAUGAGGGCAUUUACAGAAAUGCUGGCGGAACUGCUGCCAGGGAGGCUGUAGGGUCCUCUGGCAAAAGAGGCCUCAGGUGGCUCCUCAGAGUGUCUGUGGUUCUCUGUCCCAGGCUGUUCCCUAAGAAGGUCUGCCCAGGACUCAG